rnacentral:rRNA from 1 species
AUGUAUUGCUUUCUUGAUCUGAAGAAGAUAUAUUCUACCAUCGACUAUCUGUACUGCAGAUUCGCAACAAAAGAGACUAUCUGCAUUGCAUACAUGGCCGCAUACAUGAAGCCCCUCCAGGCACCAGUCCUUCUGCUUCUUCUCGUAUGCCUUGCUAUUCAUUCACAAUGUGGAAGGACGGAAGACAUGGACAGCCUGAGGAUAAGCCUGCCGCACGGAUUAUGUGCGUACAAACCUUGCAAAGAUGGCUACUGCAACUGUUGUUACCUGACGGAGGACUGCUUUCUCACAAUGGAUGACUGCAAAAAGAAAUGCAAUGGUCCUCGUUCGCGCAUCACGGCGGGGUUGCCGACCCCCUCCAUUUCCGCCCGCACAUCAGAUUGA